rnacentral:rRNA from 1 species
GACAGAGGAUGCAAACGUUGCUCGGAAUUACUGGGCGUAAAGCGCGCGCAGGUGGUCCGGUAAGUCGGGUGUGAAAUCCCAGGGCUCAACCUCGGAAGUGCACUCGAUACUGCUGGACUUGAGUACUGGAGAGGAGAGCGGAAUUCCCGGUGUAGAGGCGAAAUUCGUAGAUAUCGGGAGGAACACCAGUGGCGAAGGCGGCUCUCUGGACAGAUACUGACACUGAGGCGCGAAAGCGUGGGAAGCAAACAGG